GUUUGCAUUAUUACCAAAUGCAAGAAAAAUCACCUAAUAAACCAUCUCUGUUGGUGAUCAGACACAUUUAAUACUUUACCUAAACACUGGCCUCAAGCAAAAAACAAACUUGAAUAUUGAAAUCACAUAAAUAUAUUUUUAAGAAUACAAAUGUCACCAGAAAGAGCCUAGUUUUUGAGCUGGUUUCAAGAUUCUAUAUCCUUUGAACACCUUCAUGAUGUGAGUGCAGUCAUUUACCACCCCUACUUACCCCAAAGACAAUCAUUUCUACCAUUUUAGAAAGUAUUUUUUUUAUUUGCUCUUUUUAGAUAUACAUGACAGUAGAGUGUAUUUUGACAUACAUACAUAGAAGUGUAACUUAUUCUACUUAGGAUCCCAUUCUUGUGGUUAUACAUGAUGUGGUGUUUUGCCAGAGUCCGGCUGGGCAAAUAACCGGGAGGUGAUAAGCAACUUGAAGGUUCAAGCAGGAACUACUUUAUUGCGAGUGAACUCAGCGGCAACUGAGCGAGAACUCAAAGUAGUGGGCACCUAAGGUAGCAGGAGCUGCCUCUCUGCCGGACAGCAGAGGUAUAUAUACCCAACUAAUCACACACAGCUUGACUCAAUUAACAUCAUCUAGAUACAACAGUCAGCCAAUAAAGAAUCCUCAUCAUCUUAAUGGCUUGCUGGCGUUGCUUCACAAACCAAUCCUCCUGGCAAGCUGCCAGGCGCCAUCUUGACUUGAUUUGCAUCCCCAACAGUGUUUAACUGGACAUGUAUUCAAUAUGAACAUAGGAAAGUUCAUUCCAUUGUCUUUCCUAUUCCCAUCCCCCCCUCUUCCUUUCAUCAUUUUCUUUUGUCAAACUUCUGUCUCCCCCACCCAGCCCACAUUGUCUGUUAGCAACCGCAUAUGAGAGAGAACAUUUGUCCUUUGGUUUUUUGGGAUUGGCUUAUUUCACUUAGCAUGAUAGUCUCCAGUUAUAUCUGUUUACCAGCAAAAGUCAUAAAGCCAUUCUUUAAAAAAGUAUUUUUGAAAGUACACACACAUACACACUUUGUAUGUACAAUUUAAGAGUAUUGAUUUUGAAGCUAAAAUGUAUGAGUUUAAAUCCCAUCUCUACACUUGAUUUGGACUUGGGAAGUUAAUGACAUCUCCAAACUUCAGUUAAAGCAGAAUGUAUACAACCUAUUGCAAAGAGUUAGGAGACAUAAAUGAAAAGUUGUGGGUGAAGCAUUAAUUAGGGUCCCUCACAUGUAGUAAGGACUCAGUAAAUAGUACUUAUUAUUAUUUUUGUACUGGGAAUCGAACCCAGGGUUGCGAUACCAUUGAGCCACCCUUUUUUAAUUUUUAGACAGGAUCUUACUAAGUUGCUUAGGGCCUAUGAUAAGUUGCUGAGACUGGCUUUGAAUUUAUGAUCCUUAGGCUCCCAAGCUGCUAGGAUUACAGGCAUGUGCCAUUGAGCCUGGCUUAGUAUUUAUUAUUAUUAUUAAAAUAAUACCAAAGGUGGCUGAGAAUUUAGAGACUAAUAAGUACGACCCUUUUGUGGGGCUACUCUAGAGACCAGCCACUACAAUCCGAGAACUCCUGGCCUAUAUAGCAUUGGAGAACAGAUUCAUUUGAAUGUUAAAAAUUCAACUUUGUAUUAGUAGGAGUGUGAUUUAACUGUCAAUUUCUUCUGUUUAGUGGGACCAUGUUGCAAAAUAAAAUAUAAAAAGGACUAGGGAUGUAGCUCAGUGCUAAAGUGACUCUGGGCUCAAUCCCAGUACCCACCCCCCCAAAAAAAAAGUAUUUUACAUAUUUUCAUAUUGAAUCUUACUCCUUGCUAAUGCUGCUUUUAAUUGUGAUAGGAAAACUUAUGAUUACAUUAGCAAAUGUGCUAUAAAGCAGCUGAUGAGAGUGAUCAAGCUUGUUGACUGCUGAUAUGCUCCAAUCAUUAGUGUUCUAUGUUUUUUCUGAGUCUAGAACCACUUGUUUUAUAUUUAACACAUUUGCAGAAUAGAGAGGUUCAAUGAUAAAUAUGGAAGAGAAGCUGGAAAUUUUUUAAAGAAUGUAUUUGAUGGGAAUUUUUGAGGAAACGGAAUAGUGAUAAAUAAUUGUCUGAUUUCUCAGUGUUCACUGUAUUUACUUCUAAAUGCAGUACAGACUUGUAAGGUCAACUUGAAUUUGCCUCUCUAUAGAAAGGAAAAUGCAAUUCUCCAUCCAGUCAGCUCUUCUGUGUGUUUUGGAUCUGAAGCUUUUCCCAUUUGGGGGAGGCAGUGUGAUUUGUUGGCUAGAAAUCUGAGUACUGUAAUUUUGUGGAUAAGAAUCCAAAUGCUAUGUAAGAACUUAUUUUGAAUAUUGCCUACCCACUACUUCUCAUAACUCUUUUAGGGACUCUGUAUAAUCAAUUAUGCAAUAAUAAAAGCCUAUAUUCAGCGUUUUAUGAAUAUUAAUUUUAAUAUAAACAUCUAGUAUUGUGGAUAGUCUAAAGUAGGAUGAAAUAUAUGACAUUGCCAUUUUGCAGGUCCAAUAUUGUUGAAAUCUGCAAUCCCAUAUGGUUCAAAUAGAAACCCCCUCAAUAAAUGGUAACUAUUAAGUUAACAGAAACAAUUACUUCCUGCCUUUGUAUUUUAUUGUAUACAAUUUAUUCUAAUUUCCCAGGUAACAUAGCACUUUGCUAUAACAUUACUUAUUCUUGCAUAGAUUUGGAUAAACCACAAAUCAAGUCAAAUCAUUUAAUUAUAAAUUAUUGCAUAGGCAUAAUAUACUUAAACAUGUUCAAAACAGAAUUCCUUUUAUUAGUAUGUAUUAAUUAUACAGAAGAGUGAGUUUCAUUGUGGCAUAUUUGUACCAAACAAGUCUGUUCUAUUUACUCCACUGCUUAAGAGACACCUGAGAGAUUUGUUUUCCCCAUUUUAUUCAUUCUAUAAAUACAAUCCAUCUGAAGUGCUUACUAGCAAUAGCUUCAAAAUAUAUUCCUGAUCUAUUGAUUUUCCAUAAUUUUGACAACCCCCUAGCUUAAAUAUCCAACAACUACUGUAAUAGAUUAUUUAGUUACUGUGCUCUCACAUCCUCGAC
rnacentral:lncRNA from 1 species